CCCUCUCGAUCUUCAAGAGGUAAGAGCUGAUCUUAAGCUCCUUAUAUGUUUUAAGUAAGUUUUAAGUUGUUUUAUGGGUAGAGAUGCAUGUUUAGGCUUGUUGAUGAGUUUAUGGGUUUUGAUGUUUUGAUGAACAAUGUAUGUUGUUUGUGUGUGUUUGAAGUGUUGUAGUUGGGGUAUUUAAUAGUUUGAGACCCCUAGGUGUGAUGUAUGGUGUUUAUGCAUGUUUUAGAACAAGUUUAUGCAUGAUUGGUGAGUUUGGAGGCAAAAAUGCAUAAGGGAGCCAAGUUUCUGCCCUUUGGCAGAAACCAGGUUCGGCAGCCGAAGGGAGGUUCGGCAGCCGAAGGGAGUUUCGGCCGCCGAACAUGGCUUGGGAGGCAGCUUUAGGCUGCCGAAGCUUGCCCCCGAAAGUUGGAGUUUCGGCUCUGUCCGAGACUUUCGGCCGCCGAAGGUGCCGCCGAACAUGCAUGAGUUUCGUCUCUGUUUGGGAGUUUCGGCCGCCGAAGGUGCCGCCGAACCUGCCUGACUUUCGGCUCUGGAGGAACUUCCGGCCGCCGAAGGUGCCGCCGAAAGUGCCCUAUCCAGCCUUUUCUUGCAUGUUUUCUAGGGGUGUUUUGAGGUGUUUUUAGGAGGUUUUUUGGGGGUAUGUUUAGAGUCUUAUUUAUGUUUGUUUGGUACCUCAUCUAAGUCCACCUGUGUAGGUUCGGACCCGAGGAACCGAGAUCCCCGGCAGUGAGAUAGCUGCCUUUGAGUUGUUAAAGUUUCAGUCAUCAGGUGAGUGGAACAACCCCUUAAGUUUUAAAGUAAAGUAAAUGAAUAAAUGAAUGAAUCAUAAAGCAUUGCCCAUGCAUCACUAAUGCCAUGCAAUAUUUCAGGAUGUUUGCAUUAGAAUUCACGAAUAUGCUGCAUUGCAUAAAUUGAUGUUGAUGUGGAUGGUUGAUUGGAUGAUCCAUGGUCCUCGAUAUGUAUGAUGAGAUAUGGCAUGUUAUGUAUGAAAGUCCAGGUUGUACCCAUUCUACGUCCCUGGCACAAAGAAAGAGAAAGUCCAGGUUGUACCCAUUCUACGUCCCUGGCACAAAGAAAGAGAAAGACCGGUUGACCCAUUCUACGUCCCGGCAUAUUGGAAUGUUAUGUUAUGAUAAGUAAGAGAAAGCCCGGUUGUAUCCAUUCUACGUCCCGGCACUUUGGAAAGGAAGAGGACUAAUGGUGACAAUACCAUCCUUUAUGUGAUUAGCUGUGAUGUGUUGCAUUUCAUGAAAGCAUGAAAAGAAGAAAAAAAAAAGUUAAAUAAUAUGUUGAAAUAAAAUAAAAUAAAAUAAAUAAUAAAUAAUGAAUAAUAAUAAUAAUAAAGGAAAUAAUAAAAUCAAUGUUUUUAGUUCUGCUCAUUGGGCUUUAUAGCUCACCCCCUCUCCCCUAACCCCAGUCUUGCAGGUGCAGAGUAGAUAGAGAAGUCAGCAGAGUAAGAGAAGUUUAUGUAAUAGCUUAGCUGUGGACAUGGUUUGUUUGUAAUGUAAAAGUAUGAUAUGUAAUGUAAUGAAAGUUUAAUAGUGUGCUUGACUAGAGUCUGUUGUAUUCCCUGUACACAUGGUCUUGUAUGAGAUAUAAUGUUUUUAUGAUGCCUAUGUAACCCAAGCCUAUGUUAUGUUAUGUUACCCCAUUGGAGUAUUUGAUGAGGACUCCAAUGAGAGGUUUAUGUUAUGUUUGUGCAUGCACAGGCUAGGCUUGGC
rnacentral:lncRNA from 1 species